GGGCGAUUGGCUCAGUUGGUUAGAGCACUACCUUGACAUGGUAGGGGUCACAGGUUCGAGUCCUGUAUCGCCCA
rnacentral:tRNA from 3 species